UACGUAGGGUGCAAGCGUUGUCCGGAAUUAUUGGGCGUAAAGAGCUCGUAGGCGGUUUGUCGCGUCUGCUGUGAAAACUCGGGGCUUAACUCCGGGCCUGCAGUGGGUACGGGCAGACUAGAGUGCGGUAGGGGAGACUGGAAUUCCUGGUGUAGCGGUGAAAUGCGCAGAUAUCAGGAGGACCACCGGUGGUGUAGACGGCUUACGGGACCGCCACUGACGCUGAGGCACGAAAGCGUGGGUAGCAAACAGG
rnacentral:rRNA from 1 species